rnacentral:rRNA from 1 species
GCGAUGUUUGAUCAUGGCUCAGGACGAACGCUGGCGGCGUGCUUAACACAUGCAAGUCGAGCGGUAACGCGGGAGCAAUCCUGGCGACGAGCGGCGAACGGGUGAGUAAUGCUUCGGAAUCUGCCCUUUAGUGGGGAAUAACCAGCCGAAAGGUUGGCUAAUACCGCAUAAGCCCUUCGGGGGGAAGCAGGGGAUCGUAAGACCUUGCGCCGAUGGAUGAGCCGAAGUCGGAUUAGCUAGUUGGUAGGGUAACGGCCUACCAAGGCGACAAUCCGUAGCUGGUCUGAGAGGACGACCAGCCACACUGGGACUGAGACACGGCCCAGACUCCUACGGGAGGCAGCAGUAGGGAAUCUUGCGCAAUGGGCGAAAGCCUGACGCAGCCAUGCCGCGUGUAUGAUGAAGGUCUUAGGAUUGUAAAAUACUUUCACCGGGGAAGAUAAUGACGGUACCCGGAGAAGAAGCCCCGGCUAACUUCGUGCCAGCAGCCGCGGUAAUA